rnacentral:rRNA from 1 species
UACGUAGGGUCCGAGCGUUGUCCGGAAUUAUUGGGCGUAAAGGGCUCGUAGGCGGUUCGUCACGUCGGGAGUGAAAACUCGGAGCUUAACUCCGAGCCUGCUUCCGAUACGGGCAGACUAGAGGUAGGCAGGGGAGAGCGGAACUCCUGGUGUAGCGGUGGAAUGCGCAGAUAUCAGGAAGAACACCGGUGGCGAAGGCGGCUCUCUGGGCCUUACCUGACGCUGAGGCGCGAAAGCGUGGGGAGCGAACAGG